CUAACCUUUCUCAGCUCCUUUGAGCGCUAAUGGGCCGUGACAGUUCCUGCCCAGGCGCGGGGUCCGCGGUACUGAGGGGAGAGAGGGGGGUGGGGAGAAGCGUCUAUCCCUCUGAUAGCUUUAGGGACCUGCUUUUUGAUACAGCUUCUUGGCCAGCGUCAGCUGCAGGUGUGUGUUAUGCCUCUGUAGCAGGAGCAGCAAGAAGGGGUAUAAUCUUCUCGUUCCCCAAGCUGCCACAAACACAACACAAGUGAUGUUUGCUCGGACGUUUUAACACGGGAUGGGGAAAUACACGGGGAAAUCUGGCACACGCCCAGUUUCCACUUCAUUAUUUUCUGCAAACACGGAGUUGGGGAUUUUCCUAUCUAGCUCACAAUUUAUGCUCCCAGUGGGGAGUUCAGAACACCACACUCCGGACCCGCUGGAAGAGAGCGUUCUGGGGACAGCAGCAGGCGAAGCCCACGCAGCCUGCGCACGGAGGUGAUUCUCCAGGGGACAGGCUUUGACUGGAUGGUUCAGAAUGUGGAAACUGGAAGAGAGAUGCCACUCCUGCUAUAAGUGAAGAUCAGAUUCAUGACCUCCUGAGGAACAUGAACACCCAUAAGUCUAUGAGCCCUGAGGAGAUGCAUCCCGGAGUCCUGAAGGAAUUGGCAGACAUAGUUGCCAAGCCACUCUUGAUGAUCUUUGAAAAGUCAUGGUGGUCAGAUGAAGUCUCUGGUGACGAUGACAAAAGGCAAUAUCACACCCAUAUUUAAGAAGGGUAGAAAGGAUGACCUAGGGAACUAUGAACCUAUUAGCUUCACAUCUGUGCUGAGGAAGAUAAUGGAACAGAUCCUUCUGGUAGCUACGCUAAGGCAUCUGGAAGAGCAGGAGGUGAUAUGGGGCAACCAGCAUGGCUUCACCAAGGGGAGGUUCUGCCUGACCAACUUCAUUGCUUUUUAUGACGGUGUAAGUGUGUCUGUGGACAAGGGAAGAGCCACUGAUGUCAUUUAUUUGGACUUCAGUAAGACCUUUGCCACAGCUUCCCGUAACAUCCUUUUCUCCAAAUUGGAAAGACAUGGAUUUGAUGGGUGAACUCUUUGAUGGACAAGAAUCUGGUUUUGAGAUUAAGAGAUGAGGCUCCUAGGACCAGCUACAUGCACUCUGUCUGGGGCAGCUUCACAAGCUAUUGUGAAACUGCUUUUCUAUGUGUUUUCUCAUUUCCAAACCAAGAAACAAGGUAAAAGCAUUGAAUAUGAUCUUGGACAAGAAAGGUUCUCUGUAGCACUGCACUGGUGAAAAUUGAUAGCAAUGGAGCUGUGUCAUCACUGGGAUUACUUUUGCCCUGAACAGUCCUUCGCAAAUGAAAAAUAAAGCAAAGAAAUGUUCUUAUUUUUUAUCUCUACUUCUGCAUAAAUGUAGUUUACAUACCACUAUACUGCAUUUAUUAAUAUUGAAGGCAUUUGCAGUGUUGACCAGUUCUCCUCUGCUUAUAUAAACUGUGACAACAAAGCAUGUGGACUAGCUAAAACUUUCUCACUACCUAUCACUGUGGAUAGGAAAACCUGUCAUGCAGGCCUUUAAGCAAAUCCCUCAAAGACUUAAUCAUGCACAACAUCAGAGGUUCUUGUUGCAUGUGUGUCUCUACCAACCAGGGACUUGAAGGAAACAACAAUCCAUGAGAUAUGUAUCAUUUGCUACAAAUUAUGCAACCGUGCCAAAUGCUUGAAUACCUCUGAAGCACAUUGCGUUAUGCCAAGGACUCCCCACCUAUCUGAGCCCUGUAGAUCUCAAGAGUAAUUGAAUUUGUUGAUGCAGUUAUAGAGUACAGAAUUCUUCCAUUUAUAUGGCUAGCAACGGACUCACAGUUCUCUUAGUAUUGGAUGUACUUAAACUGCAGCCUUCUUGUCCUCACUUGGUUAUGGCCACACUGCCUCUUUUGCUGAGUAUGGCAAGAACUAAUUAAUUUAAGAAUUAAUGCAAGAGUAUGUCUUAUAAAGAUGUCCCUCUAUAUGUAAUACACAGCAUUUCUACCACAACAGAUGUUUUGUCAAAGGUUUCAAAAUGCAUAUGUAUCUCCAUUUUACACGCAGUCUUCAGAAAGACAUCUGCACACCUAUGUGGUUUCCAGGAUUAACUUGCUUUAGCGUUCCUACCUUCUGUAGGAACAACUGAGGGAUUAUCAUAAGCAUUAUGGUUUCUGGUCACUUCUGGAUCUUUGACCCAAAUAACGUAUUUCUGAGUUGGUUAUGGGUAGCCUUCACCACAAAUUAAAAGCAGCUCUUGUAUUUAUGUAUCCUGAUGGAUGGCAAAAUGUCCAUCCAUCUCUUAUUCUGUAAUACAUAUCGUCUCCAUACAAAGAUGAUCUUCCUCGAGUGGCUAGUGUCUAACAUCAUUAGCACCUAUAGCUUCGGAUAUGAAAACUAAAAUACUUCAGUGUGCAAUACCACAGUCUCACUUCCUGUAAAUGUAAAAUAACCCUCAUAUGAAAUCUGCCAAACUGCUCUUGAUCACUGUUGUCCCUGUCUCCCAUUCUACCAUUUAGUGCAGAUUUAUACCUAUCCAAUGUGGCAACUCCUGCAUGGCCUAAUGAAUAGAACGCAGCUUUAUUUUAAUGGCAAGUACAAGAUAGAAAAAAAAUGAUGGAAUGAUUUUCCUGGCUCAUUUUCAUUAUGCUUCAGCUUUGGACUGAACUUUAAAAGGUAAAUCACCCAACUCUUGACUACACAAGCAUUUAAAUAACUACAGAGAUUCUUAGCAUUUUUUACCUUUGGUGACUGUGGAUUCAUGUUGACUUUAAACUGACUUAAGGGUAUUAGAAAAGAAAUUUUCAGGCAAAGAUAAUACUCUGUUGUGGAAUGGAUAUUGAGCAAUUAGGGAAAGAAGAAUAUUUUAUCAUUCUUGUCACAGAGGCUAUUUCUUGGGCAAUGGCUACCUGCUCCUUUUUAUCUUUCCCACCCAUGCCAUAUUGCAGCAAAUGUGGCCGCAGGUGCCUACACUGGAUGAACACCUGCCCAAUCUGCGCAAGAAGGAAAGGAAAUCAAGGGAUGUCAUGCUCACUAGUUUUGUGUACUCAACUCAGGAGAGUGACAGAAAGGAGAAAUGAGAAGACAGUUAAAUUUAGCAUGAUUAAGAAGAGAGAGUAGAAUAAAAUGGCUGUGACCUUCAGAAGCAGCUUUUGCAGGAGAUGGAGAGCAGGUAAGUCUAAACACACUUUUUUCAAAGGCAGAACACCACUUUCUGUGUCUGUCAGCCUUUCUAUAACAAUGCAUCUACUACAGUGAGCUGACAGAAACCUUACAAAGUUCAACAGAGUCCUGCACCUAGGGAGAAACAAGCACAGGCACCAGGACAUGCUGGGGCCACCCAGCUGAAAAGCAGCUCUGCAGCAGAGGACAUGGGGACAGAGUGGUGGGGACACCACUCUGGACAUGAGUAAGCAGCGUGCCCUUGCUGCUAAGAAGGCCAAUGGUAUCCUGAGCUGCAUUAGGCAAAGAAUUGCCAACAGAUCAAGAGAGGUGAUCCUUCCCCUAUACACAGCCCCAGUAAGGCUGGAGCAAUGUGUCCAGCUCUGGGUCUCCAAUAUGGGAGAGACACGAAUGUAAUGGAAAGGGUCCAAAGAGGCAUAACCAAGAUGGUCUGGGACUGGAGCACCUCUCCAGUGAGGAGAAUCUCAUCAGUGUCUGUAAAUACCCAAACAGAAGAUGCAAAGAAGAUGGAGCCAGGCUCUUCUCAGUGGUGCUCAGUGUCAGUACAAGAGACAAACUGUAACACAGAGGCUCCCUCUGAACACCAGGAAGCAGUUCUGCACUGUCGGGUGAUGGAGCACCAUCAUGGGCUGCCCAAAGGCUGUGGGUUCUCCUCCUUGGGGAUCUCCAGAAGCCACCUGGUUGUGGGCCCAGGCAGCCUGUAAAUCUGUGUAGUGGCUUUUUACACCAGUUUGCAGGUAAAAUUUUGUCCUUUCUCAUUCCAUGUUGCAAAACAACAAAUAAAAUAUGUUUUGUGUGAAACUACAUAAGCUCAUUCUUUUACCCUCAGAGAUAGAUCCUUUAUAUAGUUCCAUAGAAUAUUUAUCCCUGCUUUCUUGCCUUAACUACCUUAUAAUUUCUGCAAUUAUUUUUGUAACAUUACUAUAUAAAAAGCUUUACAGAAUUCAAUAAAUUCCCUGUGUGAU
ensembl:lncRNA